UACACUAAUCAAGUCACUUCUUCAGUUUGCCCUGAACUGAACUAAUAUAACUCCUUAAAUCUCUCAUUUACAUCUGUUGAAUCCUCAUUGAGGCUCUUCUUUGAGCCCUUUUCAAUUUUUCAAACCACAAAGUUGUGAAAUGGGUGGAAAGAAAUCUAGAGAUUUUAAUAAAUGUUGGGUUGCUUUUCUUUGCUUUCUGGUUGGUGAGCCGGGAAGCUAAAGGGAGUGGGUGGGGAUCAUGUUUUCAAACUUUUCUUUGCAGUCAGUGGGGACAGACCCUUCCUUUUUUGAUUAAAUGAAAGCUGAGAUUCCCUGGCCAUCGCAUGAGCUGUGGAUUUAAGGAAAAACAGCAAAUACCAUAAUAAAUAUGGCCAAGGUUGGUCACCCCUCUCAUGUUCGACUCAGGGACUCAGUGGAGACAUAUUCCAUCUCCGGAAGAGAAAUUAGCUUCACAUCACAUCUCUGUCCCUUCCAGCCUACCCUGCCCAUGAGCCUACUGUCUCAGCCACUGUCUCCUGCCCGGACCCAGAGGAAACUCCAGGGAAGAGAGAUUCCCACAGGUUCCUCUGUGACGUCACUGGAUUCUUCCCAGCAGACAUCAGUUUCCGCUGGGAGCACAAUGGCUCCAUAGUUCCUGCCUCCCAGUACAGCAGUGGCCCCAUCGUCAGAUCUGGCCGGGCCUACUCCGCUCAGAGCAUCUUGAGAGUCCCCAGGCCCAAGGGGGAAGGAGAAGCGGGGCCCCAGUAUUUCUGCCUGGUGUGGCACAUGACGCUGAAUGAAACCUUGAAGGUCAAGGUGAAGCCAGGGAAUUGUGGCGGAAACUGUAAUCAACAUCCUCUGGAGGUCUUUCUCCUUCCCCCUUCCCUGGAGGAUCUCUACAUAGGGCAGAACGCCACCAUCAGUUGUUUGGUGAGCAGCAUGGAGACCCCCGGAAGCCUGGAGGUCUCCUGGAACCGGGGUAGCGGGGGCCCAUUGGCCGUGGUCUCCAGGGAGCCGGUGCUGCAGGAAAAUGGCACCUACAGUGCAACCAGCAUCCUGCGGGUGUGCGUGGAGGAGUGGCAGGCAGGGGAGGAGUUCACCUGCACAGUGAAGCACCAAGACAUCCCAUCAGCCAUUGUCAAGACCAUCCACAAGAUUCAUGUGGUCUCUCCCCGUAACCCUUCUGUCUACAUCUUCCCUCCUCACGCUGAGGAGCUGGCGCUCCGGGAAUUGGCCACCAUCACCUGCCUGGCCUCCGGCUUCCGGCCCAGAGACAUCUUGGUGACAUGGACCCAGCAGGACCGGCCCGGGCCCCAGGAGGCCUACACCAACAUCGGUCCCGUCCGGGAGGCCGGGAAGGAGGAGCGCUACUUCAUCUACAGCAAGCUCAAUGUCUUGGCAUCUGAAUGGGGAUGGGGGGACACGUACGCCUGCAUGGUGGGGCACAAGGGUCUGCCCAUGACCUUCGUCCAGCGGAGCGUGGACAAAGCCUCCGGUAAACCCAGCGCUGUCAAUGUCUCUGUGAUCUUGUCCGAUACCGACGUCACCUGCUACUGAGGAGCAGAGCCGUGUGGGCUCCUCAUGGCGUAUCUGAGAUGGCCAGGGAACCUCGUGGGGUCUGGGAUUCCUCUUAGCCUGUGUGUAAAGCUGUGGGAGCUCUGGUGUACAGAGCGUGGCUGUGUGUGGAAUAUGCCCAAAUAAAAAUGCAGCAUGCCAGA